rnacentral:rRNA from 1 species
CCUACGGGAGGCAGCAGUGGGGAAUAUUGCACAAUGGGGGAAACGCUGAUGCAGCAACGCCGCGUGAGUGAAGAAGUAUUUCGGUAUGUAAAGCUCUAUCAGCAGGGAAGAAAAUGACAGUACCUGACUAAGAAGCCCCGGCUAACUACGUGCCAGCAGCCGCGGUAAUACGUAGGGGGCAAGCGUUAUCCGGAUUUACUGGGUGUAAAGGGAGCGUAGACGGCUGCGCAAGUCAGAAGUGAAAGCCCGGGGCUCAACCGCGGGACUGCUUUUGAAACUGUGUAGCUAGAGUGCAGGAGAGGUAAGUGGAAUUCCUAGUGUAGCGGUGAAAUGCGUAGAUAUUAGGAGGAACACCAGUGGCGAAGGCGACGAUCUGGCCUGCAACUGACGCUCAGUCCCGAAAGCGUGGGGAGCAAAUAGGAUUAGAUACCCGAGUAGUC